rnacentral:lncRNA from 1 species
AUAGGGACUGUGUCCAAUCCCAUUAUCUUGUAUCUACCCCAGCGUGUAGAAUGGGGCUUCUCACAUAGUAAGUGUGCAUCAAAUACCAUAAUUAGUAUCACUGUCCUCUCCCAAGCACCUGCACAUAAUAAGCACCCAAUAAACACCACUGAUUGGUUGAUCGACUGGCGAUGGAUUGGCUAGCUGUCUAGUGGCUACCCAACCCCAGGAGCUCAGAGUUCUGAAUCAAGCCCAGAAGCCCCCAGGGAAGCCAAGCCCAGGCGGGAAGGGAGGGAAGAAUGGAGGAGACAGCUGGUCUAUGUCUCCUGGAGGUCACUACAUCCAUUGUGACCCCCAGACUUGAGUUUGGCGAGCCUCUGCCUCAGUGGCUGCCAAACCUGUCAGUCAUCUGGGCCUGGAGGAGGUAGGGAGGUAGGGAAUCCUGCUGUGGCUUUAACGAAAGACAAAAAGAGAGGACCCCUUCCCCAAAGGAAGAGAAAUGACCAAUUGCUUUCAGAGAUAGAGGGAGGGAAAGAUGGGGGGUGGGGGUGGAGCAGGGAAAGAGAGUCAGGGGAGAGACGGGGAGAAAGGCGGCCAGAAGGAGAGUUAGAGGGAGAGAGACAGUGGGAGAGAGAGCCAGAGGAAGAGAGACAGAGGGAGAGUCAGAUGGAGAGAGAGACAGAGGGGGGGGGGGGAAGGCAGCCAGAGGGAGAGAGACAGACAGACAGGGGAAGUGAGAGUUAGAGGGAGAGAGAGAGACAGAGGAAGAGAGCGAGGCAGAGAGACAGCGGGAGAGAGAGAUGGAGAGUGGCUGGGUGGGUUCGGGGGAGGUGAAGAGAAGAAUAGUGACAGAGGGAGAAAAUAGCCUCAUCAACAUAUCCUGAGAGGAGGAGAAGAAGAGGAGAGGAGGAGGAGAAGAGGAGGGCUUUGAUCAAUGUUUUCCUGGAGUCAGUGGUCAACUUCCUGAUCCUCUCAGCCCAGGGCCGACACCGGAUGCAGCUCGUAUUUUCUUCUUUCAACGCCACGCCACACACGAGGACCCAGCCUGCUUUUUGAAGUGCACUAGGUGGUGGGGGCCCCGUGUCUGUGGGCCAGGAAUCCUGUCUCCCAGGACUCCGCUUUUCCUCCGGAGGACAUUCCGAUCGGAAUCGCUGUCGGUGGGAAUCGGAGGAGAGCCGGCGGUCCAAGUGUCAUCCAGGAAAUCCCCUAGACUCACAUUCCAGCCCCUCCCAGAAGAUACGUCUCAGGUACGUGCUGAACCUAGAGGCAGAUCAAAACACAAGCUGAGACUCUCUCUUUGACGGGCUGACCGGCCGACCGUCCGGUCGA